rnacentral:sRNA from 1 species
UUAUAGCCCCGAUUGCAACGGCAUCCUUUUUCAGUUUCGGCUUGAAAUAAGCACUGGCGAAAAAGAUAUAGUGAAAAGCGGGAAUAAGC